GGCCGGGGCGUCUCUUCCUGACAGGGCGGCGCGCACGGACGCGGCCGGUGCCGGCCGGGUCGCCGGGCCCUCAGCCUCGCUCUCCUGCUCGCUCGCACCGCCGGCUCGCGGGGUCGCCGGCCCCCGCAGGCCGGGGCCAUGCAGGAAAGCCAGACCAAGAGCAUGUUCGUGUCCCGGGCCCUGGAGAAGAUCCUAGCUGACAAGGAGGUGAAGCGGCCCCAGCACUCCCAGCUGCGUAGGGCCUGCCAGGUGGCGCUCGGUGAGUGAGCCACCCCGGCCUGGCCCGCGCCGGCUUCCCCACGCCGGCCGUUACCCUCCGGGCCUGCUGCCCUCCACUCCUCCCAGCCCGAAUCCCACCCUCCCGUCCUCUUCCGCUCGCUGUCCCCGUGGGAGCUGGUGUUGGGGCGGCCGAGACUGGCCCAAGGUCACCUAGCAAGUUGGUGACAGCCACGGCUGGUUUUCCAGCUUCCCUGCCUGGGGCCCUUGCCACGACUCCUUGUCCCGUUUCCUGGUUCCUCCCCUCACCAUCUCCAAGUCCUCUGAAGCAGUAGCUCUCGAUCUUAAGUUUUUCCUUCAGCGCCACUAUGCUGGUUGGGGGCUCUCCCACGGGAGCGAUCAGAGCAGGUCAGAGAGCUGCCCGGUUGGUGCCGAGGAACCCCGGAGGCUUGUUUGGGAAAUGUCUCACUGGAGAACAUUGGGGUUCCCAGGGCGCUUCGCCUGGAAGGGAUGUAAGAUGAUCUAUAUUUCAGGCAUUGGACAGCGUGUACGACUUCUACUCAUUUUAGGGCGGGUCCCUAAAAUAAAGGUUCUGUAGAGCAAAGAUACUUGUCUGAUUGCUUCAAUGCGGUGUCCUGUGCAUUUAUGACAGUGCUUCGCACACAGUAGUUGCUCAGUAAAUAUUUGCUGGUUGAAUGGAUCCAUGGAUUGUGGAAAGACAGAAGUCUCUAGCUCCUAACUAGGUAAAAGCUCGGUAGUUGACACCAACAUCAGUCUCCUAUCUUUAGUUACUUCUCGAGAGCCUGUGUAGCAGGUACUGAGGAGAUGUCUAUGAAGGAGAAAUGGAAUCCUUUGUCCCUGUGGAUCUUCUUAGGUUCUGAUAGAGCAGACAAAACAGUACUAAUAAGUACUGCUGUCAGAAAAAAGACUUAAGUGAUACAGAGGACCUGAGGUCUGCUUUAGGUUGGAUGGUCAGGAAAGUAGUCUUGUCUGAAAGUGUGACAUUUGAGCCCAGGUCUGAAAGGUAAGAAAUGUCGACUGUGUGGAGGUUCAAGAGGAAAAAAGUUGUGGACGGAGAGCGUCAGGACAUUUGACCAGAGCUGUCUCCCUGUGAAUUCAUCGCCCUGUGCAAUCCAUGGGAUUUGGUUAAAAGGCCUGUUGUCCUAAAAGGUUGAGUAAACAGAAGGGCUGAGUUUCUGUUAGUCACUCUUCUCCAUGGGUGCAGGAGAACGUCCACUUGAGACCUUGGAAUGGAUUUGUGAGCUUUGCACUUCCCGGUGAAUAAGAUUCAGGCCUCAAAUAUGUGGGAAGCAUUUGAGAGUCCCUAAGGGUCAGAAACUGUUGUUGAUCUUGGGGGUUGCUUGAGGCCUGUGUAAUCCUGAGCAGCUAAUCUUGUGAAAUUCAGGGUCUGUGGAAGGGAUUUACUGAGACCUAAAUGUUAAAGCUUUUCUGUUUUGAAAACCAGGGCCAAGAGUUGGGUUUUGUUCUAUCAGGAAUGUAGGGUAAGCAUUGGAAAAGCAGCUGUGAGGGAGGCAUGAGCCUCAGGCUGAACCCUCCUAGACUCCAUUCUUGCCAUAGGGCUUCACGUUUUAACUUCUUAAUUUAUUUUUAUUUUAUUUUAUUUUUUGGUUUUUGUUUUUCGAAACAGGGUUUCUCUGUGUAAUCCUGGCUGUCCUGGAACUCACUCUGUAGACCAGGCUGGCCUUGAACUCAGAAAUCCACCUGCCUCUGCUUCCCAAGUGCUGGGAUUAAAGCCAUGUGCCACCACUGCCGGGCUGGCUGUCUUUGAUUGCUCUCCACUUAUGCAAGACAGUGUCUUUCCCUGAACUAAAGCUCACCAAUUCUGCUAGCUAGCUAGCCAGCUUGCUCAAGAACCCCCUGUCUCAGCCUCCCAAGAACUUGCGCUAUAGGGAGCCACCACACACGAGUGGCUUAUUUGUAUUUAAAAAUGGGUUCUGGGGAGCCGAACGCUGGUCCUCACACUUCCACUGUGAGCACUUUACCCACUGAGCUACCCUUCCAGCCCCAUACAUUCCUCUUCUUAAAUGAGGUUACUGAGACCCAAGAAAAGGCCUUGAGAUACAGGAUAAGGGGGGCACAGGUACUCUGCAGUAUUUUAACUGUUCAGAAAUAAAGUCUUUUCACCUAACUAAGCACAUAGCUCCUAUCUUAAAUGAUAGCUCCUUUAAGCCAGCCCUGGGUGUGAACUCCCUAACCACUGAUAACAAGCCAUCCCUCCAAUUUCACAUAACCUAGAGUGAAGUUACCUCCUGUCAGGGCCAUUUCUUACACAUGUGUGUAUGCAGUAAGUAUGCAUGUUCACACAUGAGAACACGUGUGUAUAAAUAUAUAAUUCAAACGUGCAUUUCUACAGCCUAAAUUGGAAAAAAUAAAUCUGAACUUUUACACAAAAAAUAUAAUCCGAGGGGAAAAAAAAAGAACCAUCUAAUAAUGUCUCAGUGUUAUGGCCCAGUAUGGCUCGCAGGACAAUUUAAGCAGACCCCAGCAAUGUGAUAUUUGAUGCUAAAAUUUCUGAACAAGAAAUUAAAACUUGGGCUGAGAGAUGGCUCAGCGGUUAAGAGCACUGACUGCUCUUCCAGAGGUCCUGAGUUCAAUUUUCAGCAACUACAUGGUGACUCACAACUAUCUGUAAUGGGAUCUGAAGCCGCCUUCUGGUGUGUCUGAAGACGGCUACAGUGUACUCGUAUAUAUUAAAUGAAUAAAUAAACCUUAAAAAUAAAAAUAAGUGGGCGUGGUGGCACAUGCAUGUAUAAAAACGAGGAAGGAAUCAGGAAAAACGGCUGCAGUGAGGGAGUGGGUAAGAAAUAUAAUGUGUUUAUUUUUAUUUUUUUUAAAGUAGAGGGUUUUUUUGUCUUGCUUCUUAAAAAUAAUUUGUUUUUAUUUUAUGUGCAUUGUGUUUUGCUUGCAUGUCUGUGUGAGGGUGUCAGAUCCCUUAGAACUGCUGUUAAAGAACAAGACAGGCUGUUGUGAGCUGCUGUGUGGGUGCUGGGAAUUGAACCUGGGUCCUCCGGAAGAACAGCCAGGCCUCUUAAAUGCUGAACUAUCUCCAACCCCAAGAAGAAAAAUGUGUUUAAAGAUACUAUAUAGAUUGUCAUUAAUUUUGGUGAGAACUCUAAGUGACCACCGAAAGCUAGAGUGCUUGACUGAUAGAGUUCUUACUGGAACCUGUUUCUGUGACAGGUUAUAGCCAGUUAUAGCAUGUCAGGGGAGUGGGGAGGGCUUCAGGGCUUCAUCUCAGGUCUUGAGAAGUCAGCCUUCUGGGAUUCAAGACUUCCUGGAUUCAAAUCCCCUCCCUUCCCUUGCUGUAUUUAUAGUUAAUCUUACACGCUUGUCAGUGUUGCUGUUAAAAUGAAGUUACUUGGCAUGUGCAAACUCUUGGGGUAGAGCAGGUGCUCUGCAGAUGCUUGCUGCCUCGAUUAUUAGCACAGCAUCUAUUAGUCUUUCAGGAGUCACUUAGUGAUCUGCUUGGUUUGUAGAUAUAAUAAAUAAGAGUAAUUACGGGACUGGAGAGUUGGCUUGGCAAAUAGGAGCUUUAGUGCUGAUCCCUUCCAGAAGACUUUGGUUUACUCUGAGCACCUAUAUAGUAAGUGGUUCGCAGCAGUCUGUAACUCCAGUGCCAGGGCAUCUAACACCCUCUUUUGGCUUCUGUGAGCACCAGACACACACAUGAUAUGCGCUGUACAUACGUGUAGACAAACUCACGAAAAUAAAUAAAUCUGUUCU
rnacentral:lncRNA from 1 species